rnacentral:sRNA from 1 species
AUGUACCACGCGUCCACCGCGGUUCUGAGCGCGCCGUCCGCACCCACCUGACCGCUCCUCGCUCCGUUUUGUUAGCC